rnacentral:lncRNA from 1 species
CCAAAGUUCACCACUUCUUGGUCGGGCUCUUGCCCUUGCGGUCAGCAACAUGACGGUUCAUCUCCUCCAUGGAGACGUCUGCGGCAAGAGGAUCGUCAUCAUCAUCGUGCGUGGUGGUGCCGCUCUCCAACGACGAGAGAUGUAGCCGGAGAAGCGCCGGAGGAGGCGUUGCUGCUCUUUCAUGUGGCGGGCGACCUUGGCGGCCUCAUACUACCUCUCCCUCGCGAGGCGCUCGGACACCUCGAGCCCCAGGCAGAACGCCUUCGCGUUCUUGCGUCAGAGUAGCCGCGUGUUGGACACUGCCAUGGCCAGAGAGGGCGCGUGAUAUCGUGGAGAAGCGCCGCCUUCGGAUCGAUGGGGACGGAGCGUGCGCGCUGGCGGGAAGAGC